AGAUCCAUGUGAGAAGUAUAAUCCACAUACAAGACACCCUUGGAUGCAGCAGCAAGAAGAAGCCUUCAUGUGCCAGCGCAGUCUCUUAAGAGUGAAUGGAGGCUUGAAGUAUUCAGUUGAGAACAAAGAAUAACUUACACAGGAUCAAGUUCUAUUCAUGAAGAUGGGUGAGCUUCUAAGCAUCAGGACAUCCAGCUUGAUCCUAUGCAUGUUUUCUUAGAAGUACUUUCACUCAAGUCUAAAGAAUCACAGAGGUCCAUGGCGAUAGCAAUCGAUGACAAAUGAUCGAGAAAUGUGCGAUGAAAGGCAACAAAUGAAACUUCACACUUAAGCAAGUUUAACCUCAUGCAACCACAUCUAUGCAGUAUGCUAAUACCUUUUCCAGUAGCUAUUGAUUUUGCCUCUAAAUGACAACUUCCUCUGUGACAACUUUGCAUUUGAACUGCUGACCUAGUAGAUACACUGACUGCUGAAUCAAAGCAAUUCAGAAAGUGAUGCAAUCUAUUAUCAAUACAUUUAGAUAGGUUACUGGUGUAAAGGCAACUGAUAAUAGUUAACUUCCUCUAAUACUUUCUCGGUGUAAAACAAUAAUAGUGUGCUCUGAAAGCACAACAAGUCAAUUGGCACAGUAAUUAAAGCAUGUAUCUUUAUUCAUAGCAUUUAUGGUGGCUUAAGGCGUGCUGAAAUUAGCACAGGACUGAGAAGUAUAUCAGAAGGACAGAGUUAUGAUGCAGGAAGAGCAAUAUUGCAGCUGCUUGA